GGCGAAGUGGCGCAAUGGUAGCGUGUGGUCCUCCUACGCCUUGUUCCUGACCAGAACAACGGGGAAGACAGACUGAGGUUGUGGGUUCGAGUCCCAUCUUCGUCG